GGAGGAGACCUCGGGGCGGAGCGCGGUGUCAAAGUGGGGCCGCCCUGCCGGAGCUCCCGUUAGCGGCCGCAGCGAGAUUCCCGCCCAGCUUGGCCCGGCCCUGCGGAUGUGGAGCUGGCAGCCGGCUCAAGCUCUCAAAAGAUGGCACAAAGCUGGUCUUUCCUGGAUAUUUGUGAGUCUGACUUCAGGCCUCUGGUAGUAAUUGAGCUUGCCAAAAGUGCCAAAGCGGAAACCAUAGAAUGGUUCACUAAAAGAAUUGUGGACAAAAAAGCAAAGGGAGGUGCACAACUGCUGGUUAAACCGUUGCUCACAGAAAAAGAAGGUGAAAAUAUUUAUCUAGUUGGAGCUUCCCACUUAAGGCUGUUGCUGGGAGCUGAAACUGUGGGUUUGGUGAAGGAAUGUAAUGAUAACUCGAUGAGAACUUUUACAUAUAGCAGCAGAAAAACUUUCAAAGGUUUUGCAGAUGACAAUCAUGAUUUUCUUACAAUGGCAGAAUGUCAGUAUAUCAUCAAACAUGAACUUGAAAAUUUGAGAGCUAAAGAUGAAAAAAUGAUCCCGGGAUAUCCUCAGGCAAAGCUGUAUCCAGGAAAAUCAAUUGUGAGAAGAUUAUUGACCAGUGGUAUUCUAGUUCAGAUUUUCCCACUGCAGGAUAGAGAAGAGUUGAAAAAGCUCUGUCACAGCUGGUAUGGUCGAGUGAAAGUUGGCUGUCAACCUUUAGAUGAGAUACGCAGCUACUUCGGUGAAACCAUUGCACUCUACUUUGCCUUCUUAGAGUAUUUCACAUUUGCUUUGAUUCCAAUGGCUGUUAUUGGGAUUCCUUAUUAUGUGUUUGCAUGGGAAGACUUUGACAAAUACGUGAUGUUUGCCAUAUUCAACCUGCUCUGGUCCACUGUGAUGCUGGAAGUUUGGAAGCGGAUUUGUGCCACCAUGACAUACCGCUGGGGGACGCUGCUGAUGAAACGCCAGUUUGAAGAACCAAGACCAGGCUUCCAUGGCGUCCUGGGUAUUAAUCCCAUCACUGGGAGGGAGGAGCCAGUGUACUCAAGUAUUAAGAGACAGCUACGGAUUUAUCUGGUGUCCUUACCAUUUGUGUGCUUUUGCCUCUACUUCUCACUGUAUGUGAUGAUGAUUUACUUUGAUUUGGAAGAGUGGGCUCUGGAUUAUCAUGAGGAGAAUGACUCUAACUUCAGCAGCUUGAUGCUCUUUGUGCCAAGUAUCAUAUAUGCUGUUGUGAUUGAAAUUAUGAACCGUAUCUAUCGGUAUGCUGCUGAAUUCUUAACAUCGUGGGAAAAUCACAGGCUGGAAUCUUCAUAUCAAAAUCAUUUAAUUCUGAAAGUUUUAGUGUUCAACUUCUUAAAUUGUUUUGCAUCUCUCUUCUACAUUGCCUUUGUGCUGUUUGAUAUGCAUCUUUUGAGGCAGAGCUUGGCCACUUUGCUGAUAACGUCGCAGAUCCUCAAUCAGUUGGCAGAGUCCUUGCUUCCUUACUGGCUCCAAAAGAGGUAUAACAAGAGGAUGAAGAAACGCCUGUGUUCUCCGAAAAUUGAUAAAGACCUGUCAUUAGCGGAACAAGUCAACUUGGAGAAAGAAAUGGGCACCUAUUGUGGAACUUUUGAUGACUACCUGGAGUUGUUCUUACAGUUUGGCUAUGUGAGUCUUUUUUCAUGUGUUUAUCCACUGGCAGCUGUCUUUGCAGUGUUAAACAACAUCACCGAGAUAUAUUCUGAUGCCUUAAAGAUGUGUAAUGUUUACAAGCGUCCAUUUGCAGAGCCCACAGCAAAUAUUGGUGUUUGGCAGCUGGCUUUUGAAAUUAUGAGCGUAAUAUCUGUUGUUACUAAUUGCAUACUGAUUGGAAUGUCUCCGCAAGUGAAUGCCCUUUUCUCAGACUCAAAAAUGGAACAUAUUCUGACUGUGGCAUUGGUAGAGCACUUGCUAUUGGCAAUAAAGUUUACCAUCACAUUUGUAAUUCAGGAUAAACCAAGAGAUAUCCAGAUAAAACUAGCUAAAUUGGAAUUUGAAUCUCUAGAGGCUCUCAAACGACAGAUUUGUUUCUAGCACAAGACUGGGGAAAAUGCCAUUCUGGACAACCUACGUGUAGUUCAGACUGCCGGCAAAUCUGUUACAGACCAUCUUUUAUUGGAACAGCAGCUGAACUAUGAAAUUAUUGAAUUGUGAAGUGAUUGAACAAAGAAAAAUGAAUAAAAGAAGCAAAUGAAGCUCAUGGUUGAGUCACUGAAGGAGUAAACAUGAAGGAAUGAGGAUGACUAAAGCAGUCACAUGUGGAUGCCACAGCACCACUUGGGCGUUUGUUUAUGAGGAUGUGACGCUCUCAGAGUGUGCCCUCACCAUCUAAUGAGUAGGUGGCACCUGUCUGUAGGACACUUUGUAAAUAUUCUUUGCCUGACACUGUAAAAAAAAGGUAUUUUCUCCUGCUUCCUUUGUUUCUUAUAUGCUAUCAUUAGUGAAAUUAACACCACAUAAAGGACUCCAGCUUACACUACGUUUGAUUGAGAUCUGCCAGGCUUACCAUGCUUCAAGUGAUUGAAACCACAUCCUGUGAGUAAGCAUCCAGAAGCUCACUAGAAUUUUCAACUGCAACUUUGUAAAAAGAAAAAAAAAACAAGAAGGUUGGCUAGUAUUCAGUUUAUUGUCCUUUUGGGGUUACUGCCCCUUUUGUUCCUUUAUUACAAUAGCUUAUCAGUCAUGUAUUAUUUCCGACUUGCUUAUUAGCCACUGUUUGCACCUAGCAAAUUAAUUUCAAUGUUUUUUACAUCACAUGAUGAAAUACAUGUUGGUUCCUCAUAUGAUAUGAGAAAUAGUUGAACAUAACUAUUAUAAAGUAUGCAUUAUACACCCCUGUGUGCUAGCUAUCUAAAUAAGGCUCAGCAAAAACCUUUUCAGAAGCUGGGUGGAACAUACUCAGUAGGAAGCAGACUGCUGUUCAGUAAUUUAUGAAAUGUAUUUAUUUUUUAAUUUACAGUACAUUUUGAUAUCAUUUCCCUGAAUUUUGGACUGCAGUAUUGUAUGAAUGCAUCUGCUGGUUAAAUGAACUGAUAGUAACAGAUCAGUUAAACUUGGCACAUGAUAUACCAGUACUUGUGUAUGUAGUAGUGCAUAUCUAACUUUGUUCCUUGUUUUUCACGAGGUAGUUUUCCUAAUGUUUCAUAGUUUUCUGACAGCAGCAGGGCCAAAAUCUACAGUGUUUGCUCCUGUGAUCUUGAGAAAGUUUAUUUUCUAAUGCUGCGACCUUCAGCUUUGGUAGAUGUAACUUACCUCUAUGCAAUAGUAGAGUUCUGUUUGGAAAAAUCUGCUGUUACAAUAAUAAAGGUAUUUGCCAACUUUGCACAUUUCAGAUUCCUGCCACAGCAGUGAUCUAAGCCAGAAUAAUGUAUUCUGUCUGGAGAUUAAAAUUAGUGUUUUUCAGACUCAG